CCCGCUCUCCCGCGCGCCUCCUCUCCCUUCCCCUUCCGCCUCCUCUCCUCCCACCCACAUCGCCGCCGCCGCCCGACCACCUUCUCCUCUUCCUCUUGCCCCUAGCGCCACCGCCCCUGCCUCCUUCCCCACCACCGCCCGGCCUCCUCCCCUCACGUCCUCCUCCUUCCACCCCCUUUGAUCUGGCGCCGCCCAACCGCCCCUGCCUCCUUCCCCACCGCCGCCCGGCCUCCUACCCUCACGUCCUCCUCCUUCCACCCCUUCGAUCUGGCGCCGCCCAAACCAUGAAGAGCGGCCAAAGGAGCAACAACGGCCAGCCCCUGCCUCCUCUCCAGCACGUCCAGGGAUCCAUAGAUUGGUCCACAAUUACCUGAUUCUCGUCCUUCUGGUCAAACCCCUGGUAGGCGCCUCCUUCGAUGUGUGCGUGCACGUCAUCUAUUCACAGCCUCGCGCGUCUUCUUCCACGGAUCUUCAGGGCCUAUGAUUGUUGGUCCUUUCACCUUUGUGCAUCACCAUCCUAUGGAGCCAUGAGAUCUGAACCAAUGAAUACAGACAACAUUAACUAUGUUUGUGGAUCACCACAUGUUCUAUUGGAACAAGAGAAAAGGAGAAGAAGGGGAUGGAUGAGCAAGGACCAGAAGGACCAGAAGAAGAAGGGCAAGGGAGAUGGGGCGAUGUGCAUGUCCAUGGAGGUGUUGUUGUUGUGGGUUGGUGUUGCUGCUGUUGCAGGGGCAGCAGUGUCUCCAAGCAAACAUGUUGUUGUGUACCUACGACAUAUUUCUGUGCUCCUGGAUGUGCUACAUCACCUCAUCCUCUCAUUGGCCGCCUCGGUGCCCAUGGCGUUCGUGCUCAUCGGCGGGACGGUGCAAGGCGCAACUCCGAUGCAGCGGCGUGGAUGUGCGGUGUAGGCAGCGGUUCCUCGCCGGCUGGACGGCGUUCAGGCGCAACCCCGGCGCCCACUAAGUACUGCCUCGGCUACAACCUCCCUCGACAAGUUGGAUGCAGUUGCCGCCACUCAUGUUGCUAGAGGGGGAGUGCGCUCAGGGGGGAGUGGCGGGUCAAGGUGAGCUCAUCGGCACCGCUGCUGACCGGCAGAUCCAGGCGUACCCUCUCGAUGCACGCAGGGGGGUGAUCUAUGACGAUCUCCUGGGCACGACACCGCUGGAGAUGGUGAUAAACACGCACUCCGUCCACCAUCGGUCACCGGCAGUAGCAGGACGAACCAUCGCCGUAGCCGCCAGGUUUUGCUUUGUGGCCUCAAGUCCAGCGUAUCCUUGGUUUUAUAUUGAAUAAAUGCCUGCAGUUUGCACUCAUUUCUGUAACAUAGAAGUUUAUCCUGCUCCUCUUCAUCUUAUGCUUUGUAGUGGACUUGAUACGUAUGUUUAGUGUCUAUGCCAAUACCUGUGGUUCUGAAGUGUAUUUGAGAUGUAUUUUCCUUCUGGAAAGGCCACGCUAUUCCUUCCAAGUAUAUUCAUAGUAAAUGAGAAUGCAUGUGUUUCCUAUAUGUAAUAGUGCGGCACACACGCAUUCUUAUUUACAAAUUGAAUCAUGCUACUCUGACAUCAGAGAGUUGUAGGUUUAGUUUUUAGUUAAAGCAGUAUCUACUAGGUAUUGUAUAUGCAGCACCACAUUUUGAAUCAUUCAAUAGAAGUUAGGUUCAAGUUCAGAUUGUUUAAGUAGCAGGUUGUAACAUAUGCACACCCCUAAGGUAUAGUAGCCAGUGUUUGUUAGUAUGGCAACGUGUGUCGUAGUUGUUAGGAGCCGCUGGUGAGCUCAUCUUCUCUUUGUUUUUCCACUCCAUUCUUUUAACACUUAAUUUUGUUGUCCUUUCUUACAAAUAUUCAUUGUUUCUUCUUUUUAUAUGUUCAAACUGUAAUGGAGAUGAAAUGCACAUGUAUAUCCUUGAUAAAGAUCUCUGUAAUUUUUAAAUGUGCCGACAAGGACAGUGCUAUUGCAUUUGAAUCAACAAGUUGUUGAAUAAUAUGGUCUUCUUGUGCUUACCUGCAAAUCUGUCGUAUCUUAUAUUUGUUGGAUAAACAAAAAGGACCGGUGGUUGAUUGUCUCAACCAUCAGUUGAGAACAUAUAGAUUUUCAGUUUACAAGUUAAGGGGUUUGGCUCCUGUGCCUUCUUUAUUCCUUUGUGCGUGUGUUUAACCUUUUUUUGGCGCAUGUGGUGGUCCUGCCCGACUGUUGUGACUAUUGUUUCUGAUUCAGGAAAGCAAGAGCUUGACUGUAUUAUGAAGACCAUAAAUAGACAAGUACAGAUUGUUUGCAAGUAAGUCAGGAUUAUAUGAGGUGAUUUAUCAUUUUUUAGAGUUUUAUUAGUAUAUCCAUAAAGGGAUUCAUAGCAUACUAAUUGUGUUGAGGUUUAUUUCACACUAUAAGAGAAAUUAUUCAUGUACCCGUGAAGCGGAUAUUAUUAUAUUUUAUAACUGGGACAACAAAGCUACAUAUUGGUCCUUGGAGCUCCAAUCAUUUCUUUCAUUUGUGAUGAGCUAACUUAUGGUUACCUGUUGCUGUCAAUUAUCAG